rnacentral:rRNA from 1 species
AACGAACGCUGGCGGCAUGCCUAACACAUGCAAGUCGAACGGGACAUUCGGGCUUGGUGGCGGACGGGUGGGUAACGCGUGGGAACCUGCCCUUAAGUUCGCAAUAACGCCCCGAAUGAGGUGCUAAUACCGGAUAAUGUCUUCGGUCCAAAGAGUGCUGGCCCUUGGAUGGGCCUGCGAUGGAUUCGUCUGUGGGUAGUGUAAACGCAUACCAAGGCGACGUUGCAUAGCUGGUCUGAGAGGAUGAUCCGCCACACUGGGACUGAGACACGGCCAAGACUCCUACGCGAGGGAGCAGAGGGGAAUAUAGGGCGAUGGGGGAAAGCCUGAUCCAGCAAUGCCGGGUGAGUGAUGAAGGCCGUAGGGAUGUAAAGCACUUUUACCCGGGACGAUAAUGACGGUACCGGGAGAAUAAGCUCCGGCUAACUCCGUG